CCCCGUGGAAAGGAGGUUCCGUCUGAAUCCCUGCCCCAGCUUUCCUCGGCCUGACCUUGAACACGAGGCUUAAUCUCUGGGAGCCUCCGUCCGGGGGUGGGGGGGGGGGGGGAGGGAUGACAACAGCUUCUCAAAGGUCCCUGAAAACCCUGAGCGGGAUGAAAGGGAAGCGCCCUGGGGGUUGCCAAACUCCUAGAGUAACAGCACAUCACGACCACAAGACUUUUUGCUUUCUGGUUGCCACAAAAUGAAUGCAUUUUAACAGAAAUCUACAAAAGUCAACCGUGUGUGUUUAAAUCCCGAGGUAGGUUGGGGUAAGGGAGAAAUGACCAAAGCAUGACCUUAGGCCGGUGAGGGGGCGCACCCAGAGCUCGAGGUGGGUGCAACCACCCCGGAGGGAGGGAGGCUGGCGUCUUCCUGUGUGUGCAGGGGGAGGGGAGGAGAGCCGCAGCCGAGCGGGGGUGGUUGCUGGGCCUUACGGUCAUGUCCACAUUUGCUCGUUAUUUAUGAAAUGCUCUGCCUUCAGAGGGCCGCCCCCAGGGUCCCCGGUUUUGCCUUUGUCCCCACGCCUGCAAGCUGGGGCAAAGUCUCGCUGCUCCGGGAGCAUUAGCCUCCACUGCCCGCACUGCCCUUUAAGAGGAAAACCCAGCACCUGUGCUCCCAGCUGGAGACCGUCUCUCUGAGAGUGUGAGGCAACCUCGCUGGCCUGCCUGGAAGAGGAGGCUGUUGGGAGAAAGUGGGAGCACGGUCUCUGCCAAGAUCCCCGCCCGAGGAAAGGACGGUGAGCUGGUCUGCAGACCCGGCCUCCGUGCGGAGCCUGCUGGGAGCUGACCGGAGAUGCCUUUGGUAGAUCGUGAGCUCCCCAUCCUGGGAGUGUGUGAACAGGGCUGGCCGAUGCUGUGAGAGUGAUGCCGUGAACGCACCUCAGAUGGCAGAAGCAGCAUGGGACUCGCCGUUUCCAGGUUCAUUUUGGAUUCUACGCCUUGAAACUGUUACAGACACAUGAUCUUCCUUUGGACGACUCAUGUAUUUCACUGAAAGAGCCCUGUCUCCAUCACCCACCCCAGGGAAACACUGUCCCCGAGGCCCCCCGGGGAGCCUGGGCUCCUGGCCCUCCGCGUGGGCCCCACCAAACCCAGGGUCAUAUUGGACAGUCUCCUCACCGGGGACCCUCCUCCAGGACUCAUCCACAGGUGCAAUUUGAAAGUCGAUCACCACCGUCUCGUGUCACCUCCGGAGGCACCCCAGGAAACCGAGAUGUGUAAGCUCCUGCCGACCGGCACACCCUCUCUCCGUGUUCGCCCGCUGGAUUUGCGCACAUCUCACAUCUCCUCGUACGAUCAGAAGCAAAGAGAGAGGGAGAAGCAUUCCCCGCGUCCCAAGACAAGUUGAUGGUCACACCAGAAGUGCCCCUGACGCUCCACAGGCAGCAGAUGGGGCGUCGUGUUCUUUUUAGGAGCCGCUCCUAACUGAACAGGUCACUGCUCAGAGAAGCUGCUGUGACACUUUAGUUUCUGGUGGAGAAAGAAGGAGUCCGGGCUUUCCUGCCCGACUAGACGGCCGUGUGAUCUGAGGACGUCACUUGAGGACACCCAGGGCACCAAAGUUCCAGGAAAGUCCGACUCAGCAGAGACGGGGGAAGGCCCCUCUCUGCAGCUCCACGGCACAGGUACUCCGGGACCCGCCGGAUGGCAGGUGCCAGGCUCCCGCGACCCGUGGGGUCCAGCCCUUGUCGAGACCCAGGGCCUCGGCCGCCCGGCGCUUCCCUGGAAGGAUCACUUGACUUUCGUUGGGAUCCACUUGUGCGGUCCUUCUCCGUUCGCUUCCACAGAGGCAAAUGUCUGCCAGCGGGAGGGCUUCUGGAACUGCCCAGGCCUGCCCAGGGCCUGCCCUGUCGGACUGGGGUGGAGGUGGGGUCAGAAGGUCUGUUUGGCAGAGACCUCACAUUCCAGAAUGACCUCAUGGUAGGUGAGUUGUGAUUUCAGCCUCACCGAUCCGCACGCGGGGCCUCCCGACGAGGCCUUGGGGAGUCCAGCCUUCCCGCUCGCCGUGGUGCCCACCCAGGUCCUCAAGGACCACGUCUCUCUCCGCACUCCUGGAAGCCAGAUCUCCGGGCUCUGUAGGUCUUUGUUCGUGGGUGCAGGCCUCACCCUGGUACCUGCCAGGCUGCAUGCUCCCUGCAGAACCUUCCAGAAAUCUGGCCAUCCAGCAUCGACACUCAGGCUGCCAGUGAGGCACUGAUGGUGUGAGGAAGGGGGGACACAUGUUCAUGAGACAUGAUCGCAAGGGGGCUGCCUCAGUUUCCCCAGCUGUGGGAGGCAUCCUGGACAUCCACAGCCUAGUGCCGGCCCCAGGGUCCCCUCUGCUUGGCAUGGCUUCGUCAUGGUCCCAGAACUGCUACCUGGGCUGACCCCUUCAAGCCCGGUGGUUCUGUUCACUGAGUCUGGCUGAGCCACCUUCCUCCCCUCCCCUGACCUUCUCAACCUCCAUCCAGGACAACAUGGCUCCUUCCCAGCAGACAAGCUGCAGGGCCUGAGAGCCCCCUUCCCCGGAGUCAGCUGCCAGACCUCCCCCCCACCAACCCCUGUCCUGGAAAUAAGGGACAAAUUCCCAACUGAGAAACAGACCUCCAGGGGCUUCUAGCUUAGUGAUGGGACAGCAACAAGGUGGAGACCAGCUGCGCGGCAGUUCUCAGUAAGUGCUGGGGGGCUGCUAGGAGGGAGAGGCCACGUCGGGAGGCCUACCGGCCAGUGUGAAACGGCUCUGGGGCGGCGGGGGAGGGCAAAGCUGGCAGGUGCAGCGGGAGAGCCAGGCUGUCCGCAGGCAGCUGACCUCGGGCACUGUGCACUGGCAUCGGGUGGGCCUGGUGCGGGAAGGACAGACGGCUGUAGUCACAGAGGAGGGGCCGAGAUUUGCAAGGAGACAGGAUGCUGAGUCUGGAGCCUGCCGGGCACGAGUCAGGUGGAGCCGUCACUGCAGGGGGAGACCGCCCUGAGGGGGGUCCUGGGGCCCAGGGAGGCCCUCGUGGGAGGACUGAGACUUUGGGACUUCGCCUGAGGGGGGUAUGUCCCUGCAGAGCCUGGCUUGGGGGGCCAAGGGACCAGGCCCUCUCCAGGCUCCCCGGCUGUGAGCAGAGAGCUGCCCGCAGAGGCCCCUGGAAGGACCACUGGGGGGAGGCCAGGAGCGAGCCCUCUGGUCCCCCAGCUUCCUUCUCCGGAGCCCUGGUGGCCACCAGGACCCCGACAGCUUGCCGACCCACCCUGCCCCGGGACGGGGGACCAGGGGGCUGGGUGAGCUCAGGUGAGUUCUCCCAACACCCGAGCCUGCUCAGUGGUGAGAUCUUUCCCAAAGUCUCCACGGUUCGGUGGCCUGUGGCCAGCAUCUUGCAGGACUGGUGGGCACCUUCCCCAUCCCGGGGUUGAAAUGCGAUUCUCCCACUCGCCCAGAAGCCUGAAUGUUCUAUCAACCUCAGGAACAUGGAGACCCAGAGGGGAUUUGGAGAGCUGGCUUAAUUUCCGGAUCCCAGAUGGCUUGCCCCGUCACAGGAAGUGGGUGGCUCGGCAAGGCCCUCCGAGGCCCCCUGCCUCCCUCACCCCCGCCCUCUCCUGGUGGUGCCUCCCCCUCCUGCCUCCAGGCCUGCGGGACCCCUCCCUGCAGUUACACCUGAGGCUUCCCAGAAAUGCUUCCUGAAAACCCUCCCACAGGCUCCUGGCUGGGCCGGGGGACCCGCUGAGGUCACCUCCGAACCCGGCCCCACAUCCUCCCGUGCAGACCCCGCCCCCGCCUCCUAAGACGACCUCAGCGCCCACUCCUCACUUCUCCCCCCUCGCUGAUCACUGCCCCUCCUGGGAACGCAUCCCCCCUGCCCUCCAAGGCCUUACACGCCUGACGUCCUUCUCUGCUCCCUCUGUCCCCUCACUCGUGAGGCAGGCUCGCCGUGGCCCAGGCCCCAAACCUGUGCCCGCAGCCGGCGUCCUCUGAGCUCUGCCUUCCAAGACCCAUGGCUGGCCUCCCCCGUGUCCCCCCUGGGAGGGGUCCGUGUGGGUCUCUCCGGCUGACCCCCGACCACAGGCAUGGCCCAGGGCCUCCUCCUUGGGCCUCGACUGGCUCCCUCCCGGUGUCCUCGUCUUGCCCAGGGACCUGUCCAGACCGUUUGGGUUCUCCAGUCUCCCGUCACCGCUGCUUGCCACUGUCCCUGCCAGCCCCCCGGUGGAUCAUCGUGUAUUCGGAAAACGCCAGCCUCCCUGCCGUCGUUCCGGGGGCCGUGCUGGGCUCCAGUGCAGACAGCCCCCUGCACACCUCGGCGUUUCAGCCACCUUGUCCCCACCUUGUUCACGGUCACAUCCGUGCCCCUCCCCAGGGCCCCACCUCCAGGGCUCCCGGAGACCCCAGAGCCCUCGGCCAGGACGUCCCACACCCUCCGUUCGGCCCCAUUUAUCCCACCCGGGUCUUGCCUCCCUUCCCCCCUGCCAGGCUUUCUUCUCCCCACCCUCCAUGACUCGCGCUCCACCUCUGUCUCUGCCUCUCUGUCUCUCUGUCUCUGCAUCUCUGUCUCUGCGUCUC